rnacentral:rRNA from 1 species
UAAUGUAUGGGGAUCUGCCCGAUAGAGGGGGAUAACAACUGGAAACGGUGGCUAAUACCGCAUAAUGUCUACGGACCAAAGCAGGGGCUCUUCGGACCUUGCACUAUCGGAUGAACCCAUAUGGGAUUAGCUAGUAGGUGGGGUAAAGGCUCACCUAGGCGACGAUCUCUAGCUGGUCUGAGAGGAUGAUCAGCCACACUGGGACUGAGACACGGCCCAG